UGCGUUUCAACUGAGUAAGUAAUGAUGGUUUCUUGAAGAGGCAUAGAUAUCUUUGAUUGAGAGGAGGGAUGUGGAGAGGUACAAAGAGUCUUCACUUGAUGAGUUAUUAGGGAGCAUUGAAGUGCCAUUGUUGUAGUCGUAGGAGUUACACCGGUGAAGUUGGAUAGACGAACAGAUUUAGAGUCGCUGGAGACGUCUGAGGCAAGAGGCUAAGGAAAAGGACGCUAUAAGUUAUACAAUGGACUGACUAUUUUGAUGGGUUUGGAUGGUUCGAGACCCAU
rnacentral:lncRNA from 1 species